GGCGGAGUAGCUCAGUAGGUUAGAGCAGCGGAAUCAUAAUCCGCGUGUCGGGGGUUCAAGUCCCUCUCCCGCUACCA
rnacentral:tRNA from 1 species